GUGAAUCAUCGAAUUUUUGAACGCAAAUUGCACUCCCUGGCAUUCCGGAGGGCAUGCCUGUUUGAGGGUCAGUAUACAUAAAAAUCGAGGUGUUGCUGUUCUGUGACCCAUCGGAAUUGGGUUUUCUUUUUUGUUUUAAAUAGUUUAAGUGACCUAAAAUUGAUACCUUGUGCAUCUCUCUCGUACUUAAGUAUAUUUUUUUAUCCGUC
rnacentral:misc_RNA from 1 species